rnacentral:rRNA from 1 species
AUGGUUAGGAGUGUACCGAUUGGCGAGAAGCUCUUCAUAGGAGGAGACCUCAAUGGCCACGUGAGUACAUCUAACACAGGUUUUGAAGGGGUGCAUGGGGGCUUUGGCUAUGGCAUCACGAAUCAAGGAGAAGAUGUCUUAAGCUUUGCUCUAGCCUACGACAUGAUCGUAGCUAACACCCUCUUUAAAAAGAGAGAAUCACAUCUAGUGACUUCUAGUAGUGAUCAACACUCUAGCCAGAUUGAUUUCAUCCUCUCAAGAAGAGAAGAUAGGCGUGCGUGCCUAGAUUGUAAGGUGAUAUGUGCCUAG